GACGAACGCUGGCGGCGUGCUUAACACAUGCAAGUCGAACGGAAAGGCCCUGCUUUUGUGGGGUGCUCGAGUGGCGAACGGGUGAGUAACACGUGAGUAACCUGCCCUUGACUUUGGGAUAACUUCAGGAAACUGGGGCUAAUACCGGAUAGGAGCUCCUGCUGCAUGGUGGGGGUUGGAAAGUUUCGGCGGUUGGGGAUGGACUCGCGGCUUAUCAGCUUGUUGGUGGGGUAGUGGCUUACCAAGGCUUUGACGGGUAGCCGGCCUGAGAGGGUGACCGGGCACAUGGGGACUGCGAUACGGACCAGAAUCCUACGGGAGGCAGCAGUGGGGAAUAUUGCACAAUGGGCGGAAGCCUGAUGCAGCAACGCCGGGUGCGGGAUGACGGCCUUCGGGUUGUAAACAGCUUUCGACUGUGACGAAGCGUGAGUGACGGUAAUGGGUAAAGAAGCACCGGCUAACUACGUG
rnacentral:rRNA from 1 species